UACGCAGGGUGCGAGCGUUAAUCGGAAUUACUGGGCGUAAAGGGCGCGUAGGCGGACAGUUUAGUCAGAGGUGAAAGCCCAGGGCUCAACCUUGGAAUUGCCUUUGAUACUGAUUGUCUUGAGUUUGGGAGAGGUGAGUGGAACUCCGAGUGUAGAGGUGAAAUUCGUAGAUAUUCGGAAGAACACCAGUGGCGAAGGCGACUCACUGGCCCAAUACUGACGCUGAGGCGCGAAAGCGUGGGGAGCAAACAGG
rnacentral:rRNA from 1 species